UGCAGUCGAGCGGAACGAUCCUAGCUUGCUAGGAGGCGUCGAGCGGCGGACGGGUGAGUAAUGCAUAGGAAUCUGCCCGAUAGUGGGGGAUAACCUGAGGAAACUCAGGCUAAUACCGCAUACGUCCUACGGGAGAAAGCAGGGGCUCUUCGGACCUUGCGCUAUCGGAUGAGCUUAUGUCGGAUUAGCUGGUUGGUGAGGUAACGGCUCACCAAGGCGACGAUCCGUAGCUGGUCUGAGAGGAUGAUCAGCCACAUCGGGACUGAGACACGGCCCGAACUCCUACGGGAGGCAGCAGUGGGGAAUAUUGGACAAUGGGGGCAACCCUGAUCCAGCCAUGCCGCGUGUGUGAAGAAGGCCCUCGGGUUGUAAAGCACUUUCAGUGAGGAAGAAGGCUUGUCGGUUAAUACCCGGCAAGGGAGACAUCACUCACAGAAGAAGCACCGGCUAACUCCGUGCCAGCAGCCGCGGUAAUACGGAGGGUGCGAGCGUUAAUCGGAAUUACUGGGCGUAAAGCGUGCGUAGGCGGCUUGAUAAGCCGGUUGUGAAAGCCCCGGGCUCAACCUGGGAACGGCAUCCGGAACUGUCAGGCUAGAGUGCAGGAGAGGAAGGUAGAAUUCCCGGUGUAGCGGUGAAAUGCGUAGAGAUCGGGAGGAAUAUCAGUGGCGAAGGCGGCCUUCUGGACUGACACUGACGCUGAGGUACGAAAGCGUGGGUAGCAAACAGGAUUAGAUACCCUGGUAGUCCACGCCGUAAACGAUGUCGACUAGCCGUUGGGGUCCUCGAGACCUUUGUGGCGCAGUUAACGCACUAAGUCGACCGCCUGGGGAGUACGGCCGCAAGGUUAAAACUCAAAUGAAUUGACGGGGGCCCGCACAAGCGGUGGAGCAUGUGGUUUAAUUCGAUGCAACGCGAAGAACCUUACCUACCCUUGACAUCGUGCGAACUUUCCAGAGAUGGAUUGGU
rnacentral:rRNA from 1 species